rnacentral:sRNA from 1 species
ACAGCAGCACUGGAGACUGAAGUCUCUAUCUCCACUGUAUAGGUACAGAUCAGACAGCAACACUGCAUGCUUCCCCAGAACUCUCCUACCACAUGCCACAACUCUGGUCUGAAGGAACCUGUAAGGGUGAGAAAGCAGUUCUGUUUCCAUGCUGAUACAGUCCCUAGGCUUUG